UGGAUAGCUCAGUUGGGUAGAGCAGCAGAUUUCUAAUCUGUCGGUCGCGGGUUCGACUCCCGCUCCA
rnacentral:tRNA from 1 species